GAGGUGUUCGUUAGACUUGGACUAGUCAUUUAUUCUGAAAAUGUAACACAAAUGCUCAUGUUUUUUUUCCAUCUUUUGCAGGCCCAGAAAAAUACUGGACUUACCGCUGGGUCCAUGCAGUGGAACAUCCAAUAGUCCUUUUUGGAACUUUCUGCUUCUUCACAACCAGAAAUAUACCAUGGGAUAUACCCAAGCAAAUAUUUUUACGAUAGUACUAGCUAUAACAGUUAGUAGCUAUAAUACAAACAAUUCCAUAGGUAAACGGCAACAGAACUCUCCUAAUUGUACUUAUUUUCUCCCUGCUCUGUACCCUCCCCAUAUCCCAUUGUAACAUACCUGGUGUGCACUCAGAUGAGAAAGUGUUAAGAGCAAGACUCACUGCCUUACCUCAUCAGCAGCUGCAAUACACAUAUAUUUAAUACCGGGUAUCACAAGGGCCAGCCAUACCUGUCAGACCCCAGGGUGAAGUUUCGACCAGUGGACCAAGACUGAAGGACAGCAUUAUGCCGAAGAAGACUGUUGUUGGUGGCCAUUUUUGCUUCCCUCACACCCCUCAGAUAUUCACACAGUCAGUGGCAGUUGGCUCAGCUCAAGUUCUUCUGGUUGCUGCAAAUGACCUAAAGAGGGAGAUGGAGGGUCUGCAUUAUCGUUAGCACAAGCAGCUGGCAAUCCAAGGUCAGAUCAUUGCUGUGCAGUAUGUGACAUGGCCAAAGGAGGCACUGUCAG